AGCAUCUGGAUUUUAUUGUGUUUUAUUUUUGCAGUACUAGCAUUUGAACCCAGACCUUCACAGGAAACUUAACCCCAGGUGUUUUGUUUGUUUGGUUUGGUUUGGUUUUUGAAAUAGGAUCUCGCUAAUCACUCUGUCGCCCAGGCUGACUUCAGACUUGGAAUCCUCCUGCCUCAGUCUCCCGGAGUGCUGGGAUUACAGGUGUGUGGACCACCAAGCCCAGCUGGCGUCUAGAUGUUUAACAGCUUCCCAACUGCUUUUGGUGUAACCAGGGUUGGAAGACCACUGGGAUCAGCCUGCAGCCUUCAUCUUCUGCAUCUCCACUCCAUCCUGCCUCUAGCCUUCAAGUGGCAUAGUCUGUGCGUGAGAAUGGCUCACCCUCCAAAAGGUGUGAAGCUGUUUUCAUCUCAGAAGUGCAAGGCCUUUCACCAGCUAUUACUUCAACUGAAGUGAUAUCGCCCCCAACAGUCCAAACCAAGAACUCUUCUUCAGCCUCUUUGGGAGGUCAGUUCUGGUGUCUACAGACUGAGGAAUCUAACAGUUUCUGGGUCAGAAGAUUGAAUGAAGAAUAAAUUAGAAGAGAGAUUGGCACUUAUUAAGGACUCAAAAAUUGUUUAUUCAAUAAAGGCAGAACCUGUUCCCCAGAACGUAACAAGCCAUGUAUCUAUUUAGACAAAAUAAAAAAAUUUAAGGGUAAAAGUGAUGUGCUGUGGACCAACAUGAGCUGCCCUGCAGGAGGAAGGGAGGUUGAUGUCCAAGCGUGCUGCAGAUCACCCCACACUGACCAGUUCUAGGAAGCUGGAACCCUGGCCUCGCAAAACCUCCUGGCUGGAACUGUGACACUUGCAGGGAGGAGAAGGUUGUCAGGCCUUCCUUUCAGCCAAGUCAGAUCAUCAUGCAAUUUGCCCAUGGUGUGGAGGAGUCUAAAACUCCUCGCUGUCACUUCUAGCACUCUGGGGAUCACAUCUGCCAGGGUGGAACUGCUCGUCCCACAGUCUGUGGACAAGGACUUGGCGUCCAAGUGGG
rnacentral:lncRNA from 1 species